rnacentral:rRNA from 1 species
CACGUAGGGCGCGAGCGUUGUCCGGAAUUAUUGGGCGUAAAGAGCUCGUAGGCGGCCUGUUGCGUCCGCUGUGAAAGCCCGGGGCUUAACCCCGGGUCUGCAGUGGAUACGGGCAGGCUAGAGGUGAGGUAGGGGAGAAUGGAAUUCCCGGUGUAGCGGUGAAAUGCGCAGAUAUCGGGAGGAACACCGGUGGCGAAGGCGGUUCUCUGGGCCUUACCUGACGCUGAGGAGCGAAAGCGUGGGGAGCGAACAGG